rnacentral:rRNA from 1 species
GAUGAACGCUGGCGGCGUGCCUAACACAUGCAAGUCGAGCGGAAAGACGAUGAGCUUGUGCCUUUGACGUUAGCGGCGGACGGGUGAGUAACGCGUGUAUCCCCUACUUAUCUUUCUGGGAUCAUCACGGAAAACCGGCGAUAAUACCGGAUAAUAUCUUGAACCGCAGGGUGCAAUGGUGAAAGUCGGCUUUGCUGUAUCUUAUAGCUGGUUACCCGCUGGAUGGGCUAGUUGGUAAGGUAACGGCUUACGAAGGCGACGAGGCGUAUCCGAGCGGAGAGGGUGAUCGGCCACACUGGAGCUGGGACACGGUCCAGACUACUACGGGAGGCAGCAGUAGGGAAUCUUCGGCAAUGGGCGAAAGCCUGACGGAGCAACGCCGCGUGAGUGAUGAAGGUCUUCGGAUCGUAAAACCCUGUUAUUGGGUAAGAACAGCUGUGGCAGUAGCCAUGGACGUCUUGACGGUACCUAAUCAAAAAGCAACGGCUAACUACGUG